CAGUCGCCGCGGUAAGACAGAGGUGCCAAGCGUUAGGCGGAAUCACUGGGCUUAAAGCGUGUGUAGGCGGGAGCGUAAGUACCUUGUGAAAUCCCACGGCUUAACCGUGGAACUGCUCGGUAUACUGCGUUUCUUGAGCUGAUUAGGGGCUACCGGAACAAGUGGUGGAGCGGUGAAAUGCGUAGAUAUCACUUGGAACGCCAAUGGUGAAAACAGGUGGCUGGGAUCAUGCUGACGCUGAGACACGAAAGCCAGGGGAGCAAACGGGAUUAGAUACCCCAGUAGUCCCUGUCUCUUAUAA
rnacentral:rRNA from 1 species